rnacentral:rRNA from 1 species
AGUGAACGCUGGCGGUAGGCCUAACACAUGCGAGUCGAACGGCAGCACAGUAAGAGCUUGCUCUUACGGGUGGCGAGUGGCGGACGGGUGAGGAAUACAUCGGAAUCUACUUUUUCGUGGGGGAUAACGUAGGGAAACUUACGCUAAUACCGCAUACGACCUACGGGAGAAAGCAGGGGAUCUUCGGACCUUGCGCGAUUGAAUGAGCCGAUGUCGGAUUAGCUAGUUGGCGGGGUAAAGGCCCACCAAGGCGACGAUCCGUAGCUGGUCUGAGAGGAUGAUCAGCCACACUGGAACUGAGACACGGUCCAGACUCCUACGGGAGGCAGCAGUGGGGAAUAUUGGACAAUGGGCGCAAGCCUGAUCCAGCCAUACCGCGUGGGUGAAGAAGGCCUUCGGGUUGUAAAGCCCUUUUGUUGGGAAAGAAAAGCAGCAGGUUAAUACCCCGCUGUUCUGACGGUACCCAAAGAAUAAGCACCGGCUAACUUCGUG